rnacentral:lncRNA from 1 species
CCAGCUCCUAAUCAUUUUCCUCAAAAGUCUGCCUCCUCCCACUGCCUGCAAAUACAAUAGACAGAGACCAGACCGUAAGGUCAGAGAGAGGAGGGUUGUCAGAAACUGCAGAUGAGUAUGGCACCAAGACAGACCACUGUCUACUGCAGCCUGUGCUGAGACAGUCACUCUCAUGAUAAAUGUAAUUACAAAUGGUGCAGAUAGAAAGAGCCUUGACAAGGAUUUUAUCCCAAUGAAAACCAAGAUUCAACUGAGAUGGAAGGGAAAACUCCUGAGCAGGUAACACUGAUAGAGUAAUACAAGACAGAAGACAGAGGGGAAAAACUAGCUAUGCAAGACUAGUG